rnacentral:lncRNA from 1 species
GAUCCUUUACUUACUCCUGAUUCUAAUUUGUUCAAUCUUCUCUCCCCUGUGGCCGCUGGUCAUCAGGCCUGUUUCUCUGACACUGAUGCCACUCCCUCUCCCAACCCACUUGUGGGUAAGCUUAAACUGAUCGAUGGGAAGGAAGUCAGGGAUCUUAAACACAAAGCUGCAGGAUCUCUUGACCUUGGUCAAGCUUCAAAGAAAAAGAUCAAAGGAGGGGGGAGUAAAAAGCCCCCAGCUUAACCCCAUUCCCUUUUUAUGAUAAAUUUUUGCUUUAUGAAUAUUAGAGGUGUAAAUAUAUCUCCAAAGCAGACUAGCGUCCAUGAUCUCAUAAGUAAGUAUAGAAUAUCACAGUUUGCUUCAUCUUGGGUUCGCAGCGGUGGUAUACCGUAUUUGGAAUGAGCGAAAUGCGCGGAUUUUCAGUCAUAAGUUUUGCUCUGUAUGAAACCUAGUCACUGACAUCCUUCACUUGCUCAAAUGUAAACUUCAUACAAAUGCAAGAUUCCAAAAAAUUAAGACUAGACAUGGUUUUAGGCAUCUUUCUUUAAAUAAUUCUUGAUCCUCUUGAGGUUUCUUUUUUAGAUGGGCCUGGAUCUGGUUUGUUUCUUUUGGCAGAAAAUUUAUGGGUAGCUGGCUGGCUGUAGUCUGGUUCUGCAGCUGUGGCUGGUUCCCAAUGUAUAGGCAGUUGGUGUGUGGGUAUCUCUCCGGCUGCUGUUUUAUGUAGACUGCUCAGUUCUGCUUCUGUUCAGUAACUGGCUAUGUCUGGUCAGGUUUUGUUGAAUGGGUGGCUGAUGGUUGCUGCUGGUUAUAGGCUCUCGGUAGCUUCCGGUUUGAAGUGUCUGAAUUGUGGGUUGCUGGGCCUGAUGGUUCUUUCUGGGUCUGCUUUGUGGGGCUCUUCUCAUCUCUGUUGCUCUGCUGAUCCUAUGUUGGGCUCUUCUGCUCUGGUGCUGUUUUGUUGGUUAGAUGCUGAGUUGGGCUCAUUGGGGUCAACUAGUUUGAAGUAGCAGGUUUUGAACCCCUAUCUUCUCGGCAGCUGCUGCUGCUCUUUUGGCUGGUUUGUGAUGCACCUGCUGCUCGUGUGGGGUGGUUCACACUGCACCUACAACAGUUGGGGACUUCACUGCAGCUACAGCUGCAGCUGCCUGCUGUGUUGCUGAGAUGCAACUUCUAUGUUGUUGCUGUGAUUCGAUGCUGCUAGUGAUGAGGUUGUGUUUGGUCCUGCUGACUGCUAUCUACUGUUGCUGUGGACUUGGCUCUGCUUGGUUAAGCUGUCUGCUACCUCCUGCUGCUGACUGCUACCUAUUGUCUAGUGUGGUUCUGCUGCUGGCUGCUACCUAUCUGGUGUGGUUUGCUGGCCUUGAAAUCUGCUUUGUAAAUCCUAGGAGUGUUCUGGUGCUUGUCUAUGUUGGUCUCUUACUGACUCUACAGUAAUAGGUGGGAUUGCUGUUCUGGGGUUGUUAUUGAUGUUUGGUUUAGGUCUGGUUGCUUCCUUUGCUGCUUUCUGCUGUAAUCUGUUGGCCUCUGCUGUGAGGUUUUGACUGUCUCGGGAUAUGGCUGUUCUAUUCUGGUUUGGCUGGAGCUAUGGUCCAUUUUCUGUGGGUUUCCAUUGCCUUUGUAUUCUGUCUCGGCUCUGCUGUAAGCAGAUAACCUCUGCUGGGCUUGUUACGUGCUUUAAGCAAUGUGUUGUUGGUGCUAUGAGUACUGUUGGGCUGCUUUUGGCUGGGUUCUGUAUUCUCUGCUGAUGGGUUUGCUAGUUUUGCAGAGGCUGGGGUUCAAUUUUAUGAUUGGUGCCUGUUAGAAUUGCAGUAAGUGGUUGAUUAUGAUCUGCUGUCCGACUCGCUGCUGCUCAAGCUGUGUUCGUGCUGUUAAACAUGGGCUGGACUGAUCUCGUUCUCGCUGCUGCUCAAGCUGUGUUCGCUGCUUCUCGCUGCUGCUCUGCUGUGUUCGUGCUGUUGAACAUGGGCUGGACUGAUCUCGUACUGCUACUCUGUGGCACCUUCUCGGCAGCUGUUUGGGCUGGAUUUGUUGCUGGCUAGGCUAAGCAGCAGCUGUUUGGGCUGGUCUCUAUGCUAAGCAGUUGUUUGGGCUGCUGUGGUACUGUUUCGUAUUGCUUCUGUCUCUAUGCUUUGGCUGCUGUGGUGCUAUGCAGCUAUUUGUAUUCCAACAGUGGUUGGUUUAGCUUUGUUGGGAAAGUGGUCUGCAAAGUGAUCCUGUGGUACUGCAGGCUGCAUUUUGGCGAUGGUUUCCUCCCAUACUGGUUGUAGCAGUCGCUCAAAUUGGUCUCAAGCAAAUUGUUGCUUGUUUAUUGUUGCUGCUUUGUUCCUGGUUAAAUCCUUGUUUGCUAGUAUCUAGUUUGGUUUACUGCAGCCAUCAUAGGGAUUGUCCAAUGAUGGCCAUGGUAUACUGUUUGGGGUUAUGACCCAUUUACUUUGUACUUAUUCUUUCUUUUAUUUCAGUCUAAAUUUAGCAAAAAAAAAGAAACAAGGGUUAAGUCUCCUAAGGCAAAUUCUGUUUCCAAGGCUAUUUGUAGAAAUUGGCAGUGGAAAUUUAACUAUGAGUAUCAUGCUAAUGGAAGAAUUUGGGUUGGAUGGGACCCAAAUAUCUGGAAUGUCAAUGUUAUUUCUUAGUCUGCUCAAUUUAUCCAUUGUUCUGUUUCUUCUGUUAAUUUUAGUUUUAAUGGUUUUGUUACUGUUGUCU